UGUGACACAGACAUCUCAUUUCAGACUGAAUGCUCCAAGGUCUCUCCCUCCAUAUCCACUCAUGGGACUCUGUGUAAACCCCUGUCUACUGCAAGAAGAAGAUCCUCUGAUUGGUGCCAUAUCCAUCAUCAGCCUCUUCCACCUGCAGCAGACGGGAUCAAAUACAGAGGUCCAUUCCAGACGCUACUCACAGAGAGAGACCUUGGAACACACAACUCUAAACAAGAUGUCUCCAUCAAAGCCAUCCUCUUAGGGCUCAGGAAAUGAAGCAGAAGGGGGAGCAGAAAGACUGGGGAAGACAGAGGGGAUGGAGGACACCAGGAGAACAAGGCCCUCUAAAACAACUGAGCAAAUCUUAUAUGAAAUUACAGAGAUAGAAGCAAACGCCAUCGUACAUGACUAAAACCUGAACGCAGCUGUCACCUCAAGCUCUGGUCACCUUAGCCAACAAGCCGACUGUGGGUUUGGUCAGCUGUGCAUGAG